UAUCAAGCAGUUUCUUGGGGGGCUCUGUCAUGUUACGACUUUGGAUUUCUCUUACUGGGAUUCAAAACUGACCAUGGAAAAGAGUUUUCAAUGGUGUCCAAUAUUCAGCAAACUUACAAACCUGACUCUUGAUUGUUCCUUUGUGAACGAGGACUUUUAUGGACUGAUAGUUUUCCUUCAGAACUCACCCAAUCUACAGAAGCUAACUCUCUCAGUAGAUAAGAGUGAUACUGCAAUUGCUGGUGAGCUAGAGGACAGAUCAUUUACAUGUGAGCAGCUUCAGAUUGUUGAAAUCAGAUGCUGGGGAUCAAGUGAGAUGCUAUCCAGGGUGACUCAGUUUCUGCAUGCUAAUGGCAUAAGGCAUGAUCAGAUGCGUAUCGUUGA